CCUACAGGGUGCAGCAGUGAGGAAUAUUGGUCAAUGGACGGAAGUCUGAACCAGCCAUGCCGCGUGCAGGAAGACGGCUCUAUGAGUUGUACACUGCUUUUGUACAAGGGUAAACCUGAAUACGUGUAUUCAGCUGAAAGUACUGUACGAAUAAGGAUCGUCUAACUCCGUACCAGCAGCCGCGGUACUACGGAGGAUCCAAGCGUUAUCCGGAUUUAUUGGGGUUAAAGGGUGCGUAGGCGGAGUGAUAAGUUAGAGGGGAAAUGUCCGAGCUUAACUCGGGAACUGCCUCUAGUUCUGUUGAUCUAGAGAGUAGAUGCGGUAGGCGGAAUGUAUGGUGUAGCGGUGAAAUGCUGAGAGAUCAGACAGAACACCGAUUGCGAAGGCAGCUUACCAAUCUAUAUCUGACGUGGAGGCACGAAAGCGUGGGGAGCAAACAGGAUUAGAUACCCCUGUAGUC
rnacentral:rRNA from 1 species